CGUCCAGCACAGCAAACGUUUAUUUGCCUUUUUUAGAAAACUCUUUUACAAAUUUUGGGGCCAGGAUGGCAAAGUUGGGGGGGGGGGGGGGCACCCCAAAAUCAGACCCCCCAAGGAUGGGAAUACCGCAGUGUGUGCGUGUGGGGCUCAGUCCUUUGGGGUCUACGGGGGACCCUUGGGAGGGUGUGGGGGUGUUUUUGGGGUCCCCAUUUGGGGACUCUAUUGGGUGAAUCCAGGCUGGUUUGGGAACCCCCUCCCCCCCAAAGUGGGUUUUGGGGGACCCCGGGUUGUUUUGGGGGUCCCUGAGGCCCUCCUGAGAGACCCUUUGGGGUCCCUUCGGGGUCCUCCAGCCCCCCUUUUAGCCCUCCCUUCUCCCCACCCAAUCCAUGGGGGGACCCCAAAAUCCAUUUGGGAUGGUCUGGAAUGGCACUGCAGACGUCCGGGUCACUUUGGGGUCCCCAAAAAGCAUUUUGGGGUCUCCCAAAUCUAUUGGGGGGGUGGGGGGAAUGUGAACCCAGCGGGGGACCCCAAAGACCCCCAAAUCAAAGUUUAGGAUCAGAAAAGGCAAUUUUGGGUCCCAAAAUACCAAAUUUAGGAUCCCAAAGCGUAACUUUGAGAUCCCAAAUACUCUUUUGGCUAUCCCAAAACCCUUUUGGGACCGCGAAGUCCGAUUUUGGGACCCCAAAGCUCAAACGUAAGACCCCCCAAACCCAACUUUGGGCACAGAACGACCAAUUUGGGGCCCAAAGACACCAACAUGGAUACCCCAAAGACCCCAGAAGCCCCCAUGGGAUCCCUGGAGCCGCACUGCGAGGCCACACAGCCAACGAAGCAGCACACGGACGCGGUUCAGCGAUGAGAUUCAGGGCGCAGGGUCGGGAUUGGGGGUAAGGAAGCCGUGUGGAGGGGUGGUGGUGGGGGGGGUGGGCUUUGGGGUGAAUGGGGGGGGUUUUGGGGUUCAGAGGAAGGCGUCGCACCACUCGCGCAGGCAGCCGGAGCAGUCCCGGCAUUGCUUGGCGUUGGCCCCGCAGGCGUCGCGCAGCCAUUCCCGGAACAGCUCCUCGUCCUUCUUCAGCACCAGGAACUGUCCGAGCACCACGUAGGCCUUGUCGAAGCCCUUCUCCUCCAGCUUCUUGCCCAGCACGUCGCCGAUCCCCGCCAGCGUCCCCACCGGUUUGUCGCCCAUCGGCUCCGCCACGAAGUCCCGGUGCUUCUGCGACGUCGACGACAUCUCGGCUGCCCGGGGACUCCGCCGCAAUCGCUGCUACAGUCUCAGGCCGCCGCCGCCGCCGCGCAAUGGCGUCACUUCCUGCCGCCGCAGCCGCGUGUUGACGUCGCUUCCGGCCGCCGAGCCGCCGUGUUGCGGGUGCUUCCGGUUUGCGCCGGAAGUGUCGCUCUGGGCGGAGCGGAGGAACCAUAGAGACGGGCGGAGGGAGGGGAUUUUGCCCCAAAUUUGGGGGAUUUUGGGGCUCGUUGAGGGAAAAAGCAGCGCAAAUCGCCGCUAUUGAGGCUUCUGGAAGGAAAGCGUUGGUUUUAUAUCGCCCGGAACGCAGCAUCGGCCCCAAUUGCAGCGAGAGCCCUUUUUGGGGUCACUCUGUGGGUUUGGGGGUUCCUCUUUAUUUUGCCCCAUUUUAUCAUCCCGCACCCCAAAAUUGCCCAUUCCUUCCCCUUCUGAGCCCUAAAUCUG
rnacentral:lncRNA from 1 species